CCCGUCAUACGACUGACGGUAGCCUACAGUGGCGGGCAGGAUCGGUAACGGCCCUGUCUGAAGCCCACUCGACAAUGUACUCCUGUGUACUCCAACAGUAUCCACUGCCGUGAGGCUGGGGAUGGAUUCUGCCAGCAGCCAGGGCGGAUGAGAG
rnacentral:ncRNA from 1 species